CCAGAUGGGGGCCCGCCAGCCCACAGGCUCUCUCAGCCUUUCUCUUCCUGUUCUUCCUCACCCUUCUAGAAACAAAGGUGAGCCCAUCUGACUCAAAACCAGGCAGCUACAGGCACUUUUGGGGAAGGGGAAUCUCUAACACUUCUUAAUUCCUUAGGGAGAAAUGCUCAGCCAAGCCUCAUCCUUUUCAAAGGCAGAUGCAAAAGACCUACAAAAUGGUAGUCAAGUUUGCUUUACUUUAUACCAGGCAAUGAACCAAACGCUGAAUGCCCAUGUUAUUUAAUCCUCACAUUAGCUCCGGGACAGGGACCUAUCAUCCUCAUUGAUAAAUGAAAACCCUGAGGCUUGGAGGGAACACAAACCUUAGUGGGACUCAACUCCUCUGAAGUCCGGCACUGCCGCCCCACCACACCCCUCCACUCCUGGAAUCGCUGAACAGCGCUGUUGCAUUUCCUGUCCCCACAGAAGAAAUGCUUGAAGUCAAGAAGGAAAAGGUCAUGUGAGAAAUAUGUGAAAUCCUAGGGGUUCCCUGCCCUUUGGCCUGUGUUAUGAAUUCUAGCUCGCAGAGAUAUCCUGCCUUGAUGGAAGGAGGUGGUUCAGGACACUCUGCUCUGGAAAUGACAAUAGCUAGGCCGGUGCCCAGAGAGGAAAGAGUAUGGCAAAUAUUGCCCAGCUUAAGCCCUUCCCACUUGAGCACUCAAACUACUCUGGGUCUUCUAAAAGCAUCAGAUACACCUCAGUAUCUUAUCAAAAGUUUUAUCAAAAGUUUUAACCAUAGGGUUUAAAAGGCCUGUAAACAGAAAGUCCGAGCAAAGGCACUGUAGCAAGACACAAGGGUGAAAUAGGACCAGAUACGCCCCGGACAUGUACCCUGUAGUCAUGCUCCUGAGAACAUAAAGGAGUGCGGAGGUGGCCUGUUGAAGUUCACAGGCUGGUGUCUGGGAUGUGUGAGCACAGCAAUUCUAUAUUGGGAGAGAGUGAGAUCUCCAGGAGGAAGUCAUGGAGAAUUAGAGGAGCUACAUAAACUGAAUUAUCUGCUGGCAACCGGCGUCAAUACCACCCCCCCUCUAAGGUCUUGUCUUGGUUGCGGAGACGCCAGGAACUACAUUUCCCAGGAUCCCUUUGCCUAAGGCUCGCUCAUGAAAGGCAGGCACUCACAGGGGCCUAGGAAGGUAAAGGAGGAAGCCAUUAUUCUCUGGAGGCAGUUGCAGCCAGCUGUGUGGGAAGACGGAGGUUUCAGGCAGUCUUCCUUAGAACUGCAGUAGCUUCGAGGCAAGCUCUUAACUUUGGAUCUUUUGGCUGAGAUCUGUGUUGGCUUUCUCUACCUUCUGCAGGAGCUUCUCUGAUCUUUGUUUUCCCAGUCCUUCCAAUGUUUAUUGUUAAACUUAACCCUGAUUCCUUUUUAAAUCCUUCUCACCUGAAAUACACUGAGUGGCUCUUGUUUUCCUAAUACAAUAUAGAGGCUUAGUUGAUCUCAAGGAUUUACUCAACAUUUUGCUGUAAAUUGGCCCCACUGAAAUUUGGAUGGAAAAGAGCUCUCCUUCAUUGCAUUUAGGGCUGUUGCUAGGGAAGAGGAUACUGUGAAAGCUUUUUUGCCCUCAAAUCUAGAAAUGUCUUUGGUUAUGAAGCACAUGGAGGUAGUCUCUGUGGGCCUAUCUGGGCCUUUCUUUUCAACUGCAGUUUGCAGAUUGGAGGGACACUCAUCCUCCUGCACUCUUAAGGGACUUUCAUGGUAAGAAAGGCAGAGAAAGACCCAAAGAUGCCAAGAAGCACCAUUCAAAUUAAUAAAUAUAACCUGAUUGUGGAAUCCAGGUGUUGUGGAUGACUAGUCUCCAUCUUGUGGACAUUGUUUUCCCCCAAAAUUCAAGCUCCACAGGGUUAGGGAGCUUUGUUUUGUUUGUACCAAUUUACCCCAAAUACCUGGGACAGUGUUUAUGGGUGCUCAGCAAAUAUUUGUUGGAUGAAUGGAUAAAUGGCCACCCAGAACUGGGAGGAGACAUACUCAGAUAGGAAUCCGAGACGCCCACAGACUCAACAAUCAGAUAUUACAUGUGUCUGAUUUGCUUCCAUGGUUAUGUCCCUGGCUCUUAGACACUGUACUGCUACCCAAUAUAGAAGAACAAUUAAAAAAAACCAAAAAACCAAAAACCAAAAACCAAAAACACAAGGCCCUGGUCUCUUUAGAACUUGUCUCCUUACACCUUUCUGCUUUCUUCAUAAUUGGGAGGUUUGUUGUAGAUUCAGCUAUCACAGGGGAUGUCUCAAAAAUGGCAUUUCUUGGGGUGCCUGGGUGGCUCAGUUGGUUCAGCGACCGACCUCAGCUCAGGUCAUGAUCUCACGGUGUGUGAGUUCGAGCCCCACGUUGGACUCUGUGCUGACAGCUCAGAGCCUGGAGCCUGCUUUGGAUUCUGUGUCUCCCUCUCUCUCUGCCCCUGCCCCCACUCAUGUUCUCUCUCUCUGUCUCAGAAAUAAACAUUAAAAAAAAUUUUUUUAAUGGCAUUUCUAGGUUUUAUUUGGCCAACUAAAGACAUUUUAAGAAACAAUUCACCAUCCUUAUCAUUUUGAUGUAAACUUAUUGCAAAAAUGUAAAUAUAAACAAUGCAAAAAGAAAUGGGAAGAUGAUCUCAGAAUUCUAACUAAAAACUGAACAAUUUUCUAUUUCACCUUCGACCUGGUUUGGCAUUUGGGAACCCCCAAUCUCCUUCACGUUGCUCAUCCAAUAUCUAAGCAAGGGCACUUUUUGUUAGGUGCUGGGGAUCUAAGAGUCAGCAAGAUAGGCACACUUCUUGCCUUGAGAAGCUUAAAGAGAUUUUUGACAGCACAAAUACUGGGCUCUGUUGAGAAUACAAGACAUCUAACCCAGUUCAAGGGGGAGGCGUAAAUUUCCAGUAAACUUCCCUUUACACGGACACCUGAGAGUCAGCAGGAGUUAUACAGAGAAGUAAACCCGAGGAAGGGAACUCAUUUACAGAUGAGAAAACUGACACCCAGAAAGGGCUCUCAACUUUCUCCAAAUCACAGCCAGAACAAAAAGCACAACCUAGGCUUGAAUUCCUGGGCCCACAGCAGAUAUUGCUACUUCUUCAGUCUUUUUGGUGAGGAUCCUAAAUGUAGACUUGCGGUCUUGGCUGUCCACCUAGCUCUGAGCUGAUUAAAUGGAAGUCUUAACAGCUGGCAGCUAGCAUCCAUUACAGAAGACUAACAGCUUGAAUCUCACCCUUCACUUGAAUUCAGCUGAGUUCCAGUAAUUACUGUUUCUGUACUUUGCCAACUGCUCAGUCCUUUCCUUAAACAAAAACCACUGGAGUGGGACUGGAGUGAGUUAGGGUGGGAGCCAGGAUGGUCAGAAAACAAACCACACGGAUUGCUGCUUCUGGAAGCUUUGUUCUUUAAUGAGCCACGGGGUGAUUUGUUCAUCAAGCUGCUUUUGUGUAGCUAUACAGUGCAUAUUCUGAGUGACACAAACUGCACUUCAUACAGAUGAUGUCUUGCUCCCCCACCUCCAAAAAAAAAAAAAAAAAAAAAAA
rnacentral:lncRNA from 1 species